GAUGAACGCUGACAGAAUGCUUAACACAUGCAAGUCUAUGAGAAGAUCUACUUCGGUAGAAGGUAUCAUGGCGGACGGGUGAGUAACGCGUAAAGAACUUGCCUCUUAGACUGGGAUAACAGAUGGAAACGUCUGAUAAGACUAGAUAUAAUAGCGACAUGGCAUCAUGUUGUUAUGAAAGGUAACACUAAGAGAGAGCUUUGCGUCCUAUUAGUUAGUUGGUGAGGUAAUGGCUCACCAAGACGAUGAUAGGUAGCCGGCCUGAGAGGGUGAACGGCCACAAGGGGACUGAGAUACGGCCCUUACUCUUACGGGAGGCAGCAGUGGGGAAUAUUGGACAAUGGAGGAAACUCUGAUCCAGCAAUUCUGUGUGCACGAUGAAGGUUUUCGGAUCGUAAAGUGCUUUCAGUAGGGAAGAAGAAAGUGACGGUACCUACAGAAGAAGCGACGGCUAAAUACGUGCCAGCAGCCGCGGUAAAACGUCUA
rnacentral:rRNA from 1 species